GCACUUCUCUCUUUUACGAGGGUGUCCUGAUAUUUUUAAGAUCCACCAGUAGGCAGCACAUCUAUUUCUGUUAUUUAUAGAGCGCCGUGCGUGCGCUGGGGAGCUGGCAGGCUCGUACAGAAAGCAGGCUGGAUUGCAGCCACAGUUUACAACCCCACGAACCAGCCCCGCGUGCAGGACCAGCACGGCCGCGUCACCGCACAAACAGCACCAGGCGGUCCGGUGCAGAUAGAUAGGUGUGUGGCCAAGUCACUUGGCCCGAGAGCUCUCGGCGUUACCCAAGCCGAGAAAACCAGGAGAAAUCCUGAUGGAAGAGCUCCCAGGGAAGCAGAGAUGCUGUGAGCGCAGGUGUUCCCAAGGCGCUCGGUCGUAUUGACCGAGUAGCCAGUCAGUAGUGAAGUUCUGGAGUAGGCACGAGUUGGAAACACUGCCGUUAGCUAUGGUGGUAAAGCCUGAGACAGGAGAAAAGCCUUUGAGAGGAGUUGCUUCAACAACCCCAGGAAUAGCUAGGAAGGUUGUCUGUAGUGGCAGAGGAAAGCAGAUAAGGGGAGAAGAGUCUCAUUAAGGGAGUGUAGCCUGUAUUUCUUGUGGAAACAGUGACUCAAAGGACAGCAAAGGAAAAACUGGACAUUACUGAAGAAGGCAGAUGAGAUUAAAAAAUAUCUAGUCACCAAAGCAUUGAUUAGAGAGGCAACAAGGAGGGAGCAGCUUUUCAUUUUGUCUCAUGGACUAUGCUGGAAGGAACAGUAGCUUCAGACCCUAAAAUCUUCUGACUACCUGUAGAAAGUACAGCUUAUAUGACAUGCAAUGGAGAGAGACAUACAGCAGUGGAUGCAUUGAGGACACAAGUGACACAGAAAGGUAAAGUUGCGAGGUCAAGGUAACAGGAGGGAUAGAAUUUAAUGUAUCAUCGAAGUUUUUUCCAUCAAUCUUUAAUAUCUCCUUCUUACAUGAAAUCUGGCAAAACUGAAGACAUGGACGGCAAUGAAAAUGUGUCUGCCCCUAAGAAAUCUGAACGUGGCCAGGAAUGUGCAGUGAUGAAGUGUCUUAGAACUCUUCCGUUUCUUUGGCCAAGGACUUCUCUUGACAUGAAAUCAGCAAGCCAUUUCAGAAGUAGAGUGGACUGAGUAGUUACUCACAGACUCACCUUGAUAAAAAUGCAGCAAACCCUUUUAGCAGUGGAGUGCAUUGAGUAGUCAGUUUUAGAGAUGCACUGUUAGUUUUAGAAUGCACUGUGUCAGUAUUAGUGUUAAUGGCUAAAGAUUAUGUGAGGCAAUUCAUUCUGUGAAGUUCUUGCAUGUCAAAUAUUUAACAAAGGGAGUUAUUUUUCUGAUUUUAUUAUUAUUAUUUAUUUAUUCUCUUAUGUACACAAUUUGUUAUCAGAAUUAAAAGGAAAAUGUUAUUGCAAAUACUGUUUUUUUUUUUUUUUUUUUUUUUUUUACUGUAGAUUUUUAAAAAUAAGAAGGAGGUCACAAAAUUAUGAGGUCAUAAACAUGAAGGUCAUAAGACACAGUACUGUCUUCUGUGACCAAUUCCCAGAGAAGUCAGUGCUACACUGCUUACAGAAAGACACUGUGUGUGUCUUUUGCCUCUGGAUCAUCAACAAUACCUAAGCUGGUUUCUGUCACCAACCUAGAAGCAUUAGCCAAAGUAACUGAUACAUAGGCUCCAGAUGUAAUACUCCAGGCUUAGUUUGGUCAGAAAAGUUAACUAUAUUUGUUGGGCCUUAGAAAGAAGUCAACUUCUGUGGACUGUGGAGAGCAGAGAGAGAAACCAGCAGGAUAUCCUGAUAUCCUUCAGCAGCCUGUAUUACGUGAAAUUGUUUAUCAGCCUCUCUUUCCACUUGACCUUUUAGAACAAAUGGUGCAGAUUUGAGCUUUUAGAGAGAGAAUUGCAAAGUCUUCCUUGUCGGUGAGCAAGAGUGGGAUGGGGGAUGUUCCAUAAAACAAAGUAUUAUGUAAAAGUGAUGCAUAUACAACGCUUAAGAGCAGAAGUGUAAUAGCAAAUUUUUUGUAUGUUUGUGUAUGUUCACAAGAAACUAUGAUAUCCUACAUGGAGUUUCUAAUUUGUAGCUACAACAAAGAUUUUGUUGUUGUUUUUGUAGAAGAAUGUUUGCAAGAACAUUUUAGAUAAGACUUGUAGUUCGUCUAUUGUUACUUUCUGCCUGACAAGAACCCUAGAUGCCUCUGAGGAAAGUGAAAACAAUUAGUAUUAGGUAAAAUGUCUAGCAUAUGGACUUUAUUUAUUUAUUUAUUUAAGUCAUUAAGUGUUUGAUUUUGUGUCUUUUCAUCAUUUGUUUUAAACAUAAUCUUUAUUAUAACUAUAGAUCUUCUUAUCCAUAUAAAUUCAACCGCUCUUUAAAUUUUGCUUGGGCUAGGUAACAUCUUAUGUAUACUGUGUAGAAAAGAUUCUUGCUAUCUCAGAUUUGAAUCUGCUGCCUUUCAGUAUUCCUGAAUGUACCAUUUUUCUUGUGGUAAGAGAACGAGAUGAUACAAAUUCUCAGUAUAUUCUGUCUGCAUUAUUCAUUCACUACUUUACAGACCUUUGUUUUGUCCAAUCCUAUUUGUCUUUUUGCUGAAGUUACAAUCUUCAUAAUUUUUCUUCAGAUUAGAGAUUUCAAGAAGAAGCAAUAUUUGAAAAUCAAAAUGGAAACAGGAAAUUCGCAACACCUGCUUUUAUUUUAUUAUUAUUAUUUUUUUUUAAUGGACAUCUAUUUGAUUAGGAAACAGGUGAAUCACAAAGCCAAUUUCAUUUCUUCCUAAAUGUUUCAUAUUUGUGUGGCUAGAGAUAGUAGAUGGCUCUGCAAAAAAAGAGAAAUCCUUAACAGCUCACAAGUGUUACAGAUGUUAUAGGAAAAUAGAACACAUUUUUCCUUCAUUGAAUUACUGUUAUCCCCUAUUAUUUUAGUUGCCUUUAAUAAAGACCAUAAAUAAUAUAAAA